UCGGGUUUAGCGGCGGACGGGUUAGUAACGCGUGGGAACGUACCCUUCACUACGGAAUAGUCCCGGGAAACUGGGUUUAAUACCGUAUACGCCCUUCGGGGGAAAGAAUUUCGGUGAGGGAUCGGCCCGCGUUAGAUUAGGUAGUUGGUGGGGUAAUGGCCUACCAAGCCUACGAUCUAUAGCUGGUUUGAGAGGAUGAUCAGCAACACUGGGACUGAGACACGGCCCAGACUCCUACGGGAGGCAGCAGUGGGGAAUCUUAGACAAUGGGGGCAACCCUGAUCUAGCCAUGCCGCGUGAGUGAUGAAGGCCUUAGGGUCGUAAAGCUCUUUCGCCUGUGAAGAUAAUGACGGUAGCAGGUAAAGAAACCCCGGCUAACUCCGUGCCAGCAGCCGCGGUAAUACGGAGGGGGUUAGCGUUGUUCGGAAUUACUGGGCGUAAAGCGCACGUAGGCGGAUUAGUCAGUCAGAGGUGAAAUCCCAGGGCUCAACCCUGGAACUGCCUUUGAUACUGCUAGUCUUGAGUUCGAGAGAGGUAAGUGGAAUUCCGAGUGUAGAGGUGAAAUUCGUAGAUAUUCGGAGGAACACCAGUGGCGAAGGCGGCUUACUGGCUCGAUACUGACGCUGAGGUGCGAAAGUGUGGGGAGCAAACAGG
rnacentral:rRNA from 1 species